CCUACGGGUGGCUGCAGUGGGGAAUAUUGGACAAUGGGCGAAAGCCUGAUCCAGCCAUGCCGCGUGUGUGAAGAAGGCCUUCGGGUUGUAAAGCACUUUCAGUGGGGAAGAAAGCCUUGGGGCUAAUACCCUCGAGGAAGGACAUCACCCACAGAAGAAGCACCGGCUAACUCCGUGCCAGCAGCCGCGGUAAUACGGAGGGUGCGAGCGUUAAUCGGAAUUACUGGGCGUAAAGCGCGCGUAGGCGGUCUGAUAAGCCGGUUGUGAAAGCCCCGGGCUCAACCUGGGAACGGCAUCCGGAACUGUCAGGCUAGAGUGCAGGAGAGGAAGGUAGAAUUCCCGGUGUAGCGGUGAAAUGCGUAGAGGUCGGGAGGAAUACCAGUGGCGAAGGCGGCCUUCUGGACUGACACUGACGCUGAGGUGCGAAAGCGUGGGUAGCAAACAGGAUUAGAUACCCCAGUAGUC
rnacentral:rRNA from 1 species